rnacentral:snoRNA from 1 species
CCAUCAGUUUGGUACAUCCUUACUUAUUCCUCUUUUUUUUUUUUUUUUUUGGUAGAGGGGUAAAUGAUGAUUGGAGCUUGAUUAGUCUCUCUGCAGCAGCUUGGAGAUUGGCAACAAACUCCUUGUUGCUCCUUUCUGAU